rnacentral:rRNA from 1 species
CGGCGACCGGCGCACGGGUGAGUAACACGUAUGCGACCUGCCCGUAGCAGGGGGAUAAGCGGAAGAAAUUCCGUCUAAUACCGCGUAAUAUCUUUCGGGGGCAUUCCUGAGGGAUUAAAGGAAGCGAUUCCGGCUACGGAUGGGCAUGCGGCGCAUUAGCUAGUCGGCGGGGUAACGGCCCACCGAGGCGACGAUGCGUAGGGGUUCUGAGAGGAAGGUCCCCCACACUGGUACUGAGACACGGACCAUACUCCUACGGGAGGCAGCAG